GAUGAACGCUGGCGGCGUGCCUAAUACAUGCAAGUCGAGCGAACAGACGAGGAGCUUGCUCCUCUGACGUUAGCGGCGGACGGGUGAGUAACACGUGGAUAACCUACCUAUAAGACUGGGAUAACUUCGGGAAACCGGAGCUAAUACCGGAUAAUAUAUUGAGCCGCAUGGUUCAAUAGUGAAAGACGGUUUUGCUGUCACUAAUAGAUGGAUCCGCGCCGCAUUAGCUAGUUGGUAAGGUAACGGCUUACCAAGGCAACGAUGCGUAGCCGACCUGAGAGGGUGGUCGGCCACACUGGAACUGAGACACGGUCCAGACUCCUACGGGAGGCAGCAGUAGGGAAUCUUCCGCAAUGGGCGAAAGCCUGACGGAGCAACGCCGCGUGAGUGAUGAAGGUCUUCGGAUCGUAAAACUCUGUUAUUGGGGAAGAACAAAUGUGUAAGUAACUAUGCACGUCUUGACGGUACCUAAUCAGAAAGCCACGGCUAACUACGUG
rnacentral:rRNA from 1 species